AGUCCUGAGACAUGCAAGUCGAGCGGUAACAGAUCCAGCUUGCUGGAUGCUGACGAGCGGCGGACGGGUGAGUAAUGCAUAGGAAUCUGCCCGAUAGUGGGGGAUAACCUGGGGAAACCCAGGCUAAUACCGCAUACGUCCUACGGGAGAAAGGGGGCUCCGGCUCCCGCUAUGGGAUGAGCCUAUGUCGGAUUAGCUAGUUGGUGAGGUAACGGCUCACCAAGGCCACGAUCCGUAGCUGGUCUGAGAGGAUGAUCAGCCACAUCGGGACUGAGACACGGCCCGAACUCCUACGGGAGGCAGCAGUGGGGAAUAUUGGACAAUGGGGGAAACCCUGAUCCAGCCAUGCCGCGUGUGUGAAGAAGGCCCUCGGGUUGUAAAGCACUUUCAGCGAGGAAGAACGCCUAGCGGUUAAUACCCGCUAGGAAAGACAUCACUCGCAGAAGAAGCACCGGCUAACUCCGUGCCAGCAGCCGCGGUAAUACGGAGGGUGCAAGCGUUAAUCGGAAUUACUGGGCGUAAAGCGCGCGUAGGUGGCUUGAUAAGCCGGUUGUGAAAGCCCCGGGCUCAACCUGGGAACGGCAUCCGGAACUGUCAAGCUAGAGUGCAGGAGAGGAAGGUAGAAUUCCCGGUGUAGCGGUGAAAUGCGUAGAGAUCGGGAGGAAUACCAGUGUCGAAGUCGUCCUUCUGCACUGUCACUUACCCUGA
rnacentral:rRNA from 1 species